CCUACGGGGGGCAGCAGUGAGGAAUAUUGGUCAAUGGACGAGAGUCUGAACGAGCAAAGUAGCGUGAAGGAUGACUGCCCUAUGGGUUGUAAACUUCUUUUAUAUGGGAAUAAAAUGUUCCACGUGUGGGAUUUUGUAUGUACCAUAUGAAUAAGGAUCGGCUAACUCCGUGCCAGCAGCCGCGGUAAUACGGAGGAUCCGAGCGUUAUCCGGAUUUAGUGGGUUUAAAGGGAGCGUAGGUGGAUUGUUAAGUCAGUUUGGAAAGUUUGCGGCUUAACCGGAAAAUUGCAGUGGAAACUGGCAGUCUUGAGUACAGUAGAGGUGGGCGGAAUUCGUGGUGUAGCGGUGAAAUGCUUAGAUAUAACGAAGAACUCCGAUGGCGAAGGCAGCUCACUGGACUGCAACUGACACUGAGGCUCGAAAGUGUGGGUAUCAAACAGGAUUAGAUACCCGGGUAGUC
rnacentral:rRNA from 1 species